AAAGGUAGUGCUAAUACGGGAUAACAUAAGAAAUUCGCAUGUUUUUCUUUAUCAAAGCUCCGGCGGUACAGGAUGGACCCGCGUCUGAUUAGCUAGUUGGUGAGGUAACGGCUCACCAAGGCGACGAUCAGUAGCCGACCUGAGAGGGUGAUCGGCCACAUUGGAACUGAGACACGGUCCAAACUCCUACGGGAGGCAGCAUG
rnacentral:rRNA from 1 species